GAAUUCGGCUUAGAGUUUGAUCCUGGCUCAGAACGAACGCUGGCGGCAGGCUUAACACAUGCAAGUCGAACGCCCCGCAAGGGGAGUGGCAGACGGGUGAGUAACGCGUGGGAACGUACCCUUUACUACGGAAUAACUCAGGGAAACUUGUGCUAAUACCGUAUGUGCCCUUAGGGGGAAAGAUUUAUCGGGGUUUGAUGAGCCCGCGUUGGAUUAGCUAGUUGGUGGGGUAAAGGCCUACCAAGGCGACGAUCCAUAGCUGGUCUGAGAGGAUGAUCAGCCACAUUGGGACUGAGACACGGCCCAAACUCCUACGGGAGGCAGCAGUGGGGAAUAUUGGACAAUGGGCGCAAGCCUGAUCCAGCCAUGCCGCGUGAGUGAUGAAGGUCUUAGGAUUGUAAAGCUCUUUCACCGGAGAAGAUAAUGACGGUA
rnacentral:rRNA from 1 species